UGUUAGCCGGACACACGAGCAGGGACUGGAGCAUCACAACUC
rnacentral:sRNA from 1 species